rnacentral:rRNA from 1 species
GCUCAACCGUGGAGGGUCAUUGGAAACUGGGAAACUUGAGUGCAGAAGAGGAGAGUGGAAUUCCAUGUGUAGCGGUGAAAUGCGCAGAGAUAUGGAGGAACACCAGUGGCGAAGGCGGCUCUCUGGUCUGUAACUGACGCUGAUGUGCGAAAGCGUGGGGAUCAAACAGGAUUAGAUACCCUGGUAGUCCACGCCGUAAACGAUGAGUGCUAAGUGUUAGGGGGUUUCCGCCCCUUAGUGCUGCAGCUAACGCAUUAAGCACUCCGCCUGGGGAGUACGACCGCAAGGUUGAAACUCAAAGGAGUUGACGGGGACCCGCACAAGCGGUGGAGCAUGUGGUUUAAUUCGAAGCAACGCGAAGAACCUUACCAAAUCUUGACAUCCUUUGACCGCUCUAGAGAUAGAGUCUUCCCCUUCGGGGGACAAAGUGACAGGUGGUGCAUGGUUGUCGUCAGCUCGUGUCGUGAGAUGUUGGGUUAAGUCCCGCAACGAGCGCAACCCUUAAGCUUAGUUGCCAUCAUUAAGUUGGGCACUCUAGGUUGACUGCCGGUGACAAACCGGAGGAAGGUGGGGAUGACGUCAAAUCAUCAUGCCCCUUAUGAUUUGGGCUACACACGUGCUACAAUGGAUAAUACAGAG